rnacentral:lncRNA from 1 species
CUCUGUUGCCCAGGCUGGAGUGCAGUGGUGCAAUCUCAGCUCACUGCAACCUCUGCCUAGCAGGUUCAAGUGAUGCUCCUGCCUUAGCCUUCCAAGUAGCUGGGAUUACAGGCGCAUACCACCACGCCCAGCUAAUUUUUGUAUUUUUAGUAGAGAUGAGGUUUCACCAUGUUGGUCUGGCUAGUCUUGAACUCCUGACCUCAGAUGAUCCACCCGCCUCAGCCUCCCAAAGUGCUAGGAUUACAGGUGUGAGCCACUGCGCCCAUCCAGGAUUCUGGCUUUUAAUCUCCAAGCUUAGAUCAUGACAGAAAGGACUAAGGAACUCUUCAUCAGUUCUUUAUUCAAGAAGCCCAUUGCGGGGGUGGUUAAUGUUCACUCAAGAUUUGUGCUAUUGUAGUAGUCCAUUCGUUGUACUAU